AGCUAGAGUUUGAUCCUGGCUCAGGAUUAACGCUGGCGGCGUGCCUAACACAUGCAAGUCGAGCGGCCGUAGCAAUACGGCAGCGGCAGACGGGAGAGUAACACGUGGGAACGCGCCCUUCGGUUCGGAAUAACGCAGGGAAACUUGCGCUAAUACCGGAUACGCCCUUACGGGGAAAGAUUUAUCGCCGAAGGAACGGCCCGCGUCCGAUUAGCUAGUUGGUGAGGUAAUGGCUCACCAAGGCGACGAUCGGUAGCUGGUCUGAGAGGAUGACCAGCCUCACUGGGACUGAGACACGGCCCAGACUCCUACGGGAGGCAGCAGUGGGGAAUAUUGGACAAUGGGCGCAAGCCUGAUCCAGCCAUGCCGCGUGGAUGAUGAAGGCCCUAGGGUUGUAAAGUCCUUUUAACGGGGAAGAUAAUGACGGUACCCGUAGAAUAAGCCCCGGCUAACUUCGUGCCAGCAGCCGCGGUA
rnacentral:rRNA from 1 species